CAGCAGUGGGGAAUUUUGGACAAGGGGGACAACCGUGAUCCAGCAAUCCCGCGUGUGGGAUGAAGGCCUUCGGGUUGUAAACCACUUUUGGCGGGGGGGAAAUAUAGAGUGAUAAUCCCAUUCGGUGAUGACGGUACCCGCAGAAUAAGCCCCGGCUAACUACGUGCCAGCAGCCGCGGUAAUAAGUAGGGCGCAAGCGUUUAUCGGAAUUUCUGGGCGUAAAGCGUGCGCAGGCGGUUAAGUAAGACAGAUGUGAAAUUCCCGGGCUCAACCUGGGAACUGCAUUUGUGACUGCUUGUCUAGAGUGCGGCAGAGGGGAGUGGAAUUCCGCGUGUAGCAGUGAAAUGCGUAGAUAUGCGGAGGAACCCCGAUGGCGAAGGCAACUCCCUGGGCCCACACUGACGCUCAUGCACGAAAGCGUGGGGAGCAAACAGGAUUAGAUACCCUGGUAGUCCACGCCCU
rnacentral:rRNA from 1 species